UACGUAGGGCGCAAGCGUUGUCCGGAAUUAUUGGGCGUAAAGAGCUCGUAGGCGGUCUGUUACGUCCGCUGUGAAAACCCAGGGCUUAACCCUGGGCUGGCAGUGGAUACGGGCAGACUAGAGGUAGGUAGGGGAGAAUGGAAUUCCCGGUGUAGCGGUGAAAUGCGCAGAUAUCGGGAGGAACACCGGUGGCGAAGGCGGUUCUCUGGGCCUUACCUGACGCUGAGGAGCGAAAGCGUGGGGAGCGAACAGG
rnacentral:rRNA from 1 species